rnacentral:rRNA from 1 species
AGUCACUGACAUUAGAUACCCGGGUAGUCCAGGGUGUAAACGCUGCAGACUUGGUGUUGGAAGCCCUUUGGGGCAUUCAGUGCCGGAGAGAAGUUGUUAAGUCUGCUACUUGGGGAGUACGUCCGCAAGGAUGAAACUUAAAGGAAUUGGCGGGGGAGCACCGCAACGGGAGGAGCGUGCGGUUUAAUUGGAUUCAACACCGUAAACUCACCAGGGAAGACUGUUACAUGAAGGCCGAGAUGAAGACUCUGCCAGAUUUUCAG